GGUUAAGCGACUAAGCGUACACGGUGGAUGCCCUGGCAGUCAGAGGCGAUGAAGGACGUGCUAAUCUGCGAUAAGCGUCGGUAAGGUGAUAUGAACCGUUAUAACCGGCGAUUUCCGAAUGGGGAAACCCAGUGUGUUUCGACACACUAUCAUUAACUGAAUCCAUAGGUUAAUGAGGCGAACCGGGGGAACUGAAACAUCUAAGUACCCCGAGGAAAAGAAAUCAACCGAGAUUCCCCCAGUAGCGGCGAGCGAACGGGGAGCAGCCCAGAGCCUGAAUCAGUGUGUGUGUUAGUGGAAGCGUCUGGAAAGGCGCGCGAUACAGGGUGACAGCCCCGUACACAAAAAUGCACAUACUGUGAGCUCGAUGAGUAGGGCGGGACACGUGGUAUCCUGUCUGAAUAUGGGGGGACCAUCCUCCAAGGCUAAAUACUCCUGACUGACCGAUAGUGAACCAGUACCGUGAGGGAAAGGCGAAAAGAACCCCGGCGAGGGGAGUGAAAAAGAACCUGAAACCGUGUACGUACAAGCAGUGGGAGCACGCUUCGGCGUGUGACUGCGUACCUUUUGUAUAAUGGGUCAGCGACUUAUAUUCUGUAGCAAGGUUAACCGAAUAGGGGAGCCGAAGGGAAACCGAG
rnacentral:rRNA from 1 species